UACGAAGGGGGGCUAGCGUUGCUCGGAAUCACUGGGCGUAAAGCGCACGUAGGCGGAUUGUUAAGUCAGGGGUGAAAUCCUGGAGCUCAACUCCAGAACUGCCUUUGAUACUGGCGAUCUCGAGUCCGGGAGAGGUGAGUGGAACUGCGAGUGUAGAGGCGAAAAUUCGUAGAUAUUCGCAAGAACACCAGUGGCGAAGGCGGACUCACUGG
rnacentral:rRNA from 1 species